CUUUUGUCUAUCAUCUUUAGCUAAGCCUUUACCAAACAUUAUAGCUGAUUUAUUGAGAUUUAUGGCCUGACCUGAGGCUUUUUCAUAUAUUUGCAGUAUCUGCAUUAGCUCUCUGCAUUCCUCCUCCUCAGCUUUACAGAAUAGAAGAGAAUCAUCUGCAAAAAGCAAGUAAGAGAUUGCAGGUCCUGUUCUACUUGCUUUAAAGCCAUGAAUUUUUCCUGCUUUAAUACUAUUUUGAAUAAUAGAUGACAAUCCCUCAGUGCAAAGCAAAUAGAUGUAAGGAGAUAUGGGAUCUCUUUAUCUUAUUCCCCUAUUAGGUAUUAUCCUUCCUACAGGGUUUCCGUUUAUUAGAAUUGAAUAGGAUGCUGAGCUUAUACACUUCAUGACCCAUCUACACCAUUUCUCACUGAAGCGUAGACCUUUCAUCAUAGCGUUAAUAUAAUUCCAUUUGACCUUGUCAAAGGCUUUACUUAGGUCUAGCUUAAGGGCCAUAAAGGGUUGAGCGAGUUUUUUUUGUAUUUAGUGAAUGGAGGAGUUCAUGAGCAAUGAGGAUGUUAUCCGUAAUGAGCCUAUUAGGGAUGAAAGCUGAUAGUCAAGCUUCUGUUAUGGUUUUCUUCCAAAUAGCUAUAAGAUUAUAAAUAAAAAAAAGGAUCGGAUCUAAGCUUCAUGCAUUAAAAUUAUAUUCAGUUUACAUUUUAUUUCACUUGUACUCACAUACUCUAUGUUUAUCUUCAUUAUAUCAACUUGGAAUAUCAAUAAUAAAUACUUUAACAUCUUUCAUUUACUUACUUGAUACUUUAGAUUAGAGUUCAUCUCUAAUUUAUGAAUGGAUCAUGUGGUACAUUUAAUUGUUAUUUUAUGUUCUCACUUUUGUUAAAACAUUUCCGAAAUAAUAUCCUAACUCCUUUGCUACUAUAUUUCCUCGCAAUUCCACACCAAAUCCAUUCAUUUUAUUUGAAUCUGUUGAUUCUUAUUUAUUGUUAAUUAAAAUUAGAUAUUCUGUUUCGGAAAAAUAAAUUUUAUAUUUAUAAAUAAAUGGUUAUUGAGAUUUUUUUUAUUUCAAUAAUAACCCAAUUACUUUUUAUGUUGUUUUGUUGUCAAAUAUAAAAUUAACAUACUAUCAAGUUUAUGAUAAAAAUAAAAAUGAGAAGAUUAUUAUCCUAGUACUUGAGAAGUAAUGUUGAUUUAUAAUUUUUGUAAAUUUUUAGAAUAUGGUAAUAAAUCAUAAAUCAUUAUUAAUAUAACAAUAAAUAAUAAAAUAGUAGAAAUAGAAAUAUGAUUAUAUUUUAAAAACUAUGAAAUAUUAUUUAAAUAUAUUUUUUAUAAUUAUAUAAUUUUAUUAUUAAAACAAUUCUUCCAAAUUUUAUGAAGUUUUUUUUAAUUAUAGUUUCCUAAUCCUAAUACUAUUAAUUUCUUUUUUAAUAUCUAGAAAUUUUAAUAAUAUUAUUUGUUUUACGUUUUGGUAGUUAUAUACCUAAACAAAUUGUCUGUUUAUUUUAAAGAAUUUUAUUUAAUAUAUUUUGAUAAUAAUUAUCAAGCGGAAUGGAUGUAUCCUGAUUCAGGGUGGACACCACCGGUGUACGGGCCAGAUGUCAAACAUUCUAAAUGCUUUCUCAUGGAAGAUUAGAUUCCUUCCUAAGAUCAAGCACUUUAUAUGGCAAAUAGUCUCAGGUUACAUUGCGGUGAAGACAAAUUUAUGUGCAAAAGGUAUUCAAUGUGAUACCUAGUGUGCAAGAUGUGGAGUAGCGAAGGAAUCAACAAAUCAUGGUUGUUUUAAUGUCCGCCAGCAGUUCAAGUGGCGGUAACUGAAUGCACAAUUUGGAAUGAGACUCAGGAUGAACAUAUUCGAAGGGUUAAUCAUAGUAGGGAGGCAAAUCAGGAAAGUUUACCUCAAAUUUUAGGUAGAUGGUGUUUCACAAAUGACUCUUGGAAAGAAAAGAAUACAUUUUUGAGAUAAGGUUGGUACAAUACACUAGAAGGUUUCAAUGGACUAAUGGGGGCAAAAAAUACAAGAGCCAGCCUUUUUCCCCUCCAUUCGGAAAUAGAAGCACUCAUAUGAGCAAUGGAAAGUAUGAGGAAUCUUAGACAAUUCCAUGUAACAUUCGCAAGAGAGUGUUCUCAAUUGGUGAAGCUGAUUUCAGAAUCAAAAGAAUGACCUACCUUUGCAACAUACUUGGAAGAUAUUCAGACACUGAAGGAAAGUUUUAACUACAACGGAUGCAUAACAAAAAGGCUGAUAGUUUGGCACCCAGUGCCAGGAAACAAACGUCAUUUGUCAUUUACAUGGAUGCAGAGUUACCAUCUUAGUUUGCAGAGUU